GACGAACGCUGGCGGCGUGCCUAACACAUGCAAGUCGAACGAUGAACCCGGAGCUUGCCUUGGGGGAUUAGUGGCGAACGGGGGAGUAACACGUGAGUAACCCGUCCUGGACUCUGGGAUAAGCGUUGGAAACGACGUCUAAUACAGGAUAGGAUCUUGGAACGCACGAUCUGGGGAGGAAAGUUUCUUCGGUCUGGGAUGGACUCGCGGCCUAUCAGCUUGUUGGUGAGGUAAUGACUCAACCAGGCGUCGACGGGUAGCCGGCCUGAGCGGGUGACCGGCCACACUGGGACUGAGACACGGCCCAAGCACCUGCGAGAGGCAGCAGUGGGGAGUAUUGCACAAUGAGCGAAAGCCUGAGGCAGCUGCGCCGCGUGCGAGAUGACGACCUUCUGGUUGUAAACCACUAUUAGUGGAGAAGAAGGGCUUCGGCUUGACGGUACCUGCAGAAAAAGGACCGGCUAACUACGUG
rnacentral:rRNA from 1 species